rnacentral:rRNA from 1 species
UAAUACGGGGGGAGCAAGCGUUGUUCGGAUUUACUGGGCGUAAAGGGCGCGUAGGCGGCGCAACAAGUCACUUGUGAAAUCUCCGGGCUUAACCCGGAGCGGCCAAGUGAUACUGUCGUGCUAGAGUGCGGAAGGGGCUACUGGAAUUCUCGGUGUAGCGGUGAAAUGCGUAGAUAUCGAGAGGAACACCUGCGGCGAAGGCGGGUAGCUGGGCCGACACUGACGCUGAGGCGCGAAAGCCAGGGGAGCGAACGGGAUUAGAUACCCCGGUAGUCCUGGCCUUAAACGAUGGAUACUUGGUGUCCGGGGUUACAUAGUCCCCGGGUGCCGGCGCUAACGCAUUAAGUAUCCCGCCUGGGGAGUACGGUCGCAAGACUG